AUCACCAUCUUAAUAAAUGUUUACUGAAUACAACAACUUCGAACUUCUUGGAACUCCAGUAUUACAGUCAGGAUCAUGAAAUUUUGUAACCACGCGGAAUUACUCGUUUCGAAACACGUUGUUCAAAGGCUGUUCCGAUGACCAAGAAAGAACUGAAAAAUGUGUAUAUAAGCAGUUACUCCGUGAUCGCAGCCACAGGAACCUGUCUUCACCUGGCAUGAUGUGUCAUCUGUCAAUAUGGGCGUGGGUGGCAGCUUGGCCUUACCUCGUAGCCGCCCUUCCACAGGACAGCGAGUUCACCAACAGCAUGCAAGAAAAUCCACCCACUGAAUAUUGGUCACGUGGUCACUAGAU